rnacentral:lncRNA from 1 species
AAAGGCUGUAUGUAAUCCCUGAUGGCUAUCAGCUUAUCACUGUAAAGCCAGAGAGGACUGAAGAUAGUGAAUGAGAGGGGAGGGCUGGACAGAAACCUGCAGGAGCGAGGCGUCCUUCUCCAGGGGGGCUCCGUGGAAAGCAGAGCCCUGGGCGGCCGCAGCACGGGCCCAUCACCGCGAUCUGGAGCAGGGUGAGCGGGCACCUGCCUCACUGAUUAGACUUGGGAACAAAGUGGUGAAUAUGAAUGCAACCGACGGCUCUGCUGACACAGCAGAUAAUGGCUUGAAGGGUGAAAACUCCAGACCAGGUCUGCGACCAGCCUUUCACAGCAGAGAGAUGGCUCUGAAGCUUGGGAGCAGCCAGGUUGUCAGCUGUCUGACGCGGCCGAUGGAUGGGAGGCGGAGGGCAAACUUCGACAGACUUCUCCCCUCCUUACUUUCCCUCAUUCUUUUUUUCUCUCCCAACAGGAGGUUGGAUGUGCUUGAGAUUUCUGCAAAAGAAGAGGGGGGAUGGGCAGCUUACAUGUGGGGGCUCUCCCGUCAUGUCUCAGUCCUGCCCUGCACAGCGGUGUCUCCUUCGGGCUUUUCCUCACUCAGGAAGAUGUUUGUUGAGUGGCUUCUACUGUCACUACUAAAAGCGGAAGGUGCCGCGGGCAC